UACGUAGGCAGCGAGCGUUGUUCGGAGUUACUGGGCGUAAAGCGUGCGUAGGCGGUGUCUCACGUUUGUUGUGAAAUCUCCCGGCUCAACCGGGAGGGUGCGGCGAAUACUGAGAUGCUGGAGUGCGGGAGAGGUAAGCGGAAUUCCUGGUGUAGCGGUGAAAUGCGUAGAUAUCAGGAGGAACACCUGCGGUGUAGACGGCUUACUGGACCGUAACUGACGCUGAGGCACGAAAGUGUGGGUAGCAAACAGG
rnacentral:rRNA from 1 species